ACUGCUUCCUGCUAACGCACAUCUGAGUAGUAGCAGGUGACGGCUCCAGGUACUUGGGUCCCCGACACUCAUCUGGGAAACUCAGAUGGACCUCCAGCUCCUGCCUUUGGUCUGGUGCAAUCCAGCUGUUUUGGGCACUUGAGAAGUGAAUUAGGGGAUGGGAGAUCUCUAUCUGUCUCACUGUCUCUCUCUCUCUGCCUUUCGUAUAAAAAAAAAAGGCCUCAUUUUCAAUUUGAACUGCAAACAACUCCACAUUAAAAAUGAAAAGGUUCAUAGCCCACAAGAGCUACAUCAGCCUGGUGCAAGCUGCGACCUCAAGCCUCCAUAGUCAUUCUUUCUCUGAAUGGGCAGGCCCUGACUAUUACCUUGCUCUGCCCACUUAAUUUUUGCAAAGAAAAUUUCACAUGUAGCAGCCAGUUCCCUGAAGUGAAGAUUUCCUUAUGACUUUCACAGUGCCAGUUAAGUAAGAUAUCCACAUAUCUUUGUUAACAGCCACUUAACAACUUUGCAUCAUUUAAAAUGCCAGGCCAAUGAGCUGACGGUGGCCCUAGAAGGUGGCCCUAGAAGAUAACAGCAUUCAGGCGGGGGCCAGAAAUUGAUACUUCCAGUCAUUCUUGGUGGUUUGCCUGCACCGACUUUGUGAGCCAGCUCAUGAUCUCAGGAUGUAUGAAAAAAUAACAAUUGCACUACUAUUGUUCGGUUUCAUUACUACAGCACCUGCCAACUUCACAGCUUCAACAUUAAAUAAUGAAAAACAAGACAUUACUUCUGAACAUACGGUUUUAGCAACAAAAUCAAGUAGGACCUCUUUUUUUUGCUUUUUUUUUUUUUUUUUUUUUUUGAAAACAAGUAAGAACCUAUUUGGGAAGUACAUUUUUAAGUAUUUUCCCUACCUUUUCUUUAUAGGUUCUGUUUCUACAUCGACUGCCAAACUCUGGUCUUCAACCUUAAGUAAUGGAAAAACUGACCCAACAAAAUCAAGUUCUGUUUCUACAUCGACUGCCAAACUCUGGUCUUCAACCUUAAGUAGUGGAAAAACUGACCCAACAAAACCAAGUGUUGUUUCCACACAGCUCAGAACACCUGUCAAAGCUCUCAACGAAACAGAACGUGGAAAUGGCAAUGGUUCUGUAGAAAAGCCAGAAACAAGACAACAAUAUAAUCAUGCUUUGUCAGAACCAGGUAUGCUAAUAUUUAUUAUGGAAUUAUGA
rnacentral:lncRNA from 1 species